rnacentral:rRNA from 1 species
GAUGAACGCUGGCGGCGUGCUUAACACAUGCAAGUCGAACGGAAAGGCUCCUGCUUGCAGGGGUACUCGAGUGGCGAACGGGUGAGUAACACGUGGGUGAUCUGCCCUGCACUUCGGGAUAAGCCUGGGAAACUGGGUCUAAUACCGGAUAGGACGAUGGUUUGGAUGCCAUUGUGGAAAGUUUUUUCGGUGUGGGAUGAGCUCGCGGCCUAUCAGCUUGUUGGUGGGGUAAUGGCCUACCAAGGCGUCGACGGGUAGCCGGCCUGAGAGGGUGUACGGCCACAUUGGGACUGAGAUACGGCCCAGACUCCUACGGGAGGCAGCAGUGGGGAAUAUUGCACAAUGGGCGCAAGCCUGAUACAGCGACGCCGCGUGGGGGAUGACGGCCUUCGGGUUGUAAACUCCUUUCGCUAGGGACGAAGCGCAAGUGACGGUACCUGGAGAAGAAGCACCGGCUAACUACGUG